rnacentral:rRNA from 1 species
GACGAACGCUGGCGGCGUGCUUAACACAUGCAAGUCGAACGGAAAGGCCCUGCUUUUGUUGGGUGCUCGAUUGGCGAACGUGUGAGUAACACGUGAGUCACCUGCCCUUUACUUUGUUAUAACUUCAGGAAACUUGGGCUAAUACCGGAUAGGAGCUCCUGCUGCAUGUUGGGGGUUGGAAAGUUUCGGCGGUUGGGGAUGGACUCGCGGCUUAUCAGCUUGUUUGUGGGGUAGUGGCUUACCAAGGCUUUGACGGGUAGCCGGCAUGAGAGGGUGACCGGCGACAAUGGGACUGAGAGAAGGACCAGAAGACUACGGGAGGCAGCAGUGGGGAAUAUUGCAGAAUGGGCGGAAGCCUGAUGAAGAAAAGAAGCGUGCGGGAUGACGGCCUUAGGGUUGUAAACCGAUUUAGCAGGUGAAGAAGCGUGAGUGACGGUAAUGGGUAAAGAAGCACCGGCUAACUACGUG